UACAGAGGGGGCAAGCGUUGUUCGGAAUCACUGGGCGUAAAGCGCACGUAGGCGGAUCUUUAAGUCAGGGGUGAAAUCCUGGAGCUCAACUCCAGAACUGCCUUUGAUACUGGGGAUCUCGAGUCCGGAAGAGGUGAGUGGAACUCCGAGUGUAGAGGUGAAAUUCGUAGAUAUUCGGAAGAACACCAGUGGCGAAGGCGGCUCACUGGUCCGGUACUGACGCUGAGGUGCGAAAGCGUGGGGAGCAAACAGG
rnacentral:rRNA from 1 species